AUUUGAUCACGGGUUUCUUCAUCGCUGCCUAAUUUUGGCGAAAUGAAGGAAUGUCACAACUUUACUGACGGAGAAAAAAAGUUUUGGCUAAGAGGAAUGCACGCAGUUGUAAAUGUGAACUGGUGGAUGGUUAAGAAGCUGAUGUGUCUUCUAGAAAUCUAAACAAAUUUGUGCAGAAUAUGAGACAGGCAGAAUAACCAUAGGUCCAUUAGUGUCAGCUGUCUUUGCCAAUGGGUGGAUCCACAGUGCAAAACUUAUGAAGAUGAUUGCAAACCGAAGAAGA